UUCGCCCUUAGAGUUUGAUCCUGGCUCAGGACGAACGCUGGCGGCGUGCUUAAUACAUGCAAGUCGAACGGAGUUAAGGGUUUCGGCCUUUAACUUAGUGGCGAACGGGUGAGUAACGCGUGAAUAACCUGACUCAAAGAGGGGGAUAACAACGGGAAACUGUUGCUAAUACCGCAUGAGACCACAACACCGCAUGAUGAAGGGGUCAAAGAUUUAUCGCUUUGAGAGGGGUUCGCGUCCCAUUAGGUAGUUGGAGGGGUAACGGCCCACCAAGCCAACGAAGGGUAGCCGAGCUGAGAGGCUGAUCGGCCACACUGGAACUGAGACACGGUCCAGACUCCUACGGGAGGCAGCAGUAGGGAAUAUUGGGCAAUGGGCGCAAGCCUGACCCAGCAACGCCGCGUGAGGGAAGAAGGUUUUCGGAUUGUAAACCUCUGUCCUAUGUGACGAAGGAAGUGACGGUAGCAUAGGAGGAAGCCCCGGCUAACUACGUGCCAGCAGCCGCGGUAAUACGUAGGGGGCGAGCGUUGUCCGGAAUUACUGGGCGUAAAGGGUGCGUAGGCGGUUUGGUAAGUUGGAUGUGAAAUACCCGGGCUUAACUUGGGGGCUGCAUCCAAUACUGCCGGACUUGAGUGCAGGAGAGGAAAGCGGAAUUCCUAGUGUAGCGGUGAAAUGCGUAGAUAUUAGGAGGAACACCGGUGGCGAAGGCGGCUUUCUGGACUGUAACUGACGCUGAGGCACGAAAGCGUGGGUAGCAAACAGGAUUAGAUACCCUGGUAGUCCACACCGUAAACGAUGAUUACUAGGUGUUGGAGGAUUGACCCCUUCAGUGCCGCAGUUAACACAAUAAGUAAUCCACCUGGGGAGUACGACCGCAAGGUUGAAACUCAAAGGAAUUGACGGGGGCCCGCACAAGCAGUGGAGUAUGUGGUUUAAUUCGACGCAACGCGAAGAACCUUACCAAGUCUUGACAUCCCUUGACGAUGCUGGAAACAGUAUUUCUCUUCGGAGCAAGGAGACAGGUGGUGCAUGGUUGUCGUCAGCUCGUGUCGUGAGAUGUUGGGUUAAGUCCCGCAACGAGCGCAACCCUUACUGUCAGUUACUACGCAAGAGGACUCUGGCAGGACUGCCGUUGACAAAACGGAGGAAGGUGGGGAUGACGUCAAAUCAUCAUGCCCUUUAUGACUUGGGCUACACACGUACUACAAUGGCGUUAAACAAAGAGAAGCAAGACCGCGAGGUGGAGCAAAACUCAGAAACAACGUCCCAGUUCGGACUGCAGGCUGCAACUCGCCUGCACGAAGUCGGAAUUGCUAGUAAUCGUGGAUCAGCAUGCCACGGUGAAUACGUUCCCGGGCCUU
rnacentral:rRNA from 1 species